rnacentral:sRNA from 1 species
CUUCUCAUUGUAUUUCUCAUCAUCCAA